rnacentral:rRNA from 1 species
GGGUUGUGAGGUUAAGCGACUAAGCGUACACGGUGGAUGCCCUGGCAGUCAGAGGCGAUGAAGGACGUGCUAAUCUGCGAUAAGCGUCGGUGAGGUGAUAUGAACCGUUAUAACCGGCGAUUUCCGAAUGGGGAAACCCAGUGUGUUUCGACACACUAUCAUUAACUGAAUCCAUAGGUUAAUGAGGCGAACCGGGGGAACUGAAACAUCUAAGUACCCCGAGGAAAAGAAAUCAACCGAGAUUCCCCCAGUAGCGGCGAGCGAACGGGGAGGAGCCCAGAGCCUGAAUCAGUGUGUGUGUUAGUGGAAGCGUCUGGAAAGGCGCGCGAUACAGGGUGACAGCCCCGUACACAAAAAUGCACAUAUUGUGAGCUCGAUGAGUAGGGCGGGACACGUGGUAUCCUGUCUGAAUAUGGGGGGACCAUCCUCCAAGGCUAAAUACUCCUGACUGACCGAUAGUGAACCAGUACCGUGAGGGAAAGGCGAAAAGAACCCCGGCGAGGGGAGUGAAAAAGAACCUGAAACCGUGUACGUACAAGCAGUGGGAGCCUCUUUAUGGGGUGACUGCGUACCUUUUGUAUAAUGGGUCAGCGACUUAUAUUCUGUAGCAAGGUUAACCGAAUAGGGGAGCCGAAGGGAAACCGAGUCUUAACUGGGCGUUAAGUUGCAGGGUAUAGACCCGAAACCCGGUGAUCUAGCCAUGGGCAGGUUGAAGGUUGGGUAACACUAACUGGAGGACCGAACCGACUAAUGUUGAAAAAUUAGCGGAUGACUUGUGGCUGGGGGUGAAAGGCCAAUCAAACCGGGAGAUAGCUGGUUCUCCCCGAAAGCUAUUUAGGUAGCGCCUCGUGAAUUCAUCUCCGGGGGUAGAGCACUGUUUCGGCAAGGGGGUCAUCCCGACUUACCAACCCGAUGCAAACUGCGAAUACCGGAGAAUGUUAUCACGGGAGACACACGGCGGGUGCUAACGUCCGUCGUGAAGAGGGAAACAACCCAGACCGCCAGCUAAGGUCCCAAAGUCAUGGUUAAGUGGGAAACGAUGUGGGAAGGCCCAGACAGCCAGGAUGUUGGCUUAGAAGCAGCCAUCAUUUAAAGAAAGCGUAAUAGCUCACUGGUCGAGUCGGCCUGCGCGGAAGAUGUAACGGGGCUAAACCAUGCACCGAAGCUGCGGCAGCGACACUAUGUGUUGUUGGGUAGGGGAGCGUUCUGUAAGCCUGUGAAGGUGGCCUGUGAGGGUUGCUGGAGGUAUCAGAAGUGCGAAUGCUGACAUAAGUAACGAUAAAGCGGGUGAAAAGCCCGCUCGCCGGAAGACCAAGGGUUCCUGUCCAACGUUAAUCGGGGCAGGGUGAGUCGACCCCUAAGGCGAGGCCGAAAGGCGUAGUCGAUGGGAAACAGGUUAAUAUUCCUGUACUUGGUGUUACUGCGAAGGGGGGACGGAGAAGGCUAUGUUGGCCGGGCGACGGUUGUCCCGGUUUAAGCGUGUAGGCUGGUUUUCCAGGCAAAUCCGGAAAACCAAGGCUGAGGCGUGAUGACGAGGCACUACGGUGCUGAAGCGACAAAUGCCCUGCUUCCAGGAAAAGCCUCUAAGCAUCAGGUAACAUCAAAUCGUACCCCAAACCGACACAGGUGGUCAGGUAGAGAAUACCAAGGCGCUUGAGAGAACUCGGGUGAAGGAACUAGGCAAAAUGGUGCCGUAACUUCGGGAGAAGGCACGCUGAUAUGUAGGUGAAGCGACUUGCUCGUGGAGCUGAAAUCAGUCGAAGAUACCAGCUGGCUGCAACUGUUUAUUAAAAACACAGCACUGUGCAAACACGAAAGUGGACGUAUACGGUGUGACGCCUGCCCGGUGCCGGAAGGUUAAUUGAUGGGGUUAGCGGUAACGCGAAGCUCUUGAUCGAAGCCCCGGUAAACGGCGGCCGUAACUAUAACGGUCCUAAGGUAGCGAAAUUCCUUGUCGGGUAAGUUCCGACCUGCACGAAUGGCGUAAUGAUGGCCAGGCUGUCUCCACCCGAGACUCAGUGAAAUUGAACUCGCUGUGAAGAUGCAGUGUACCCGCGGCAAGACGGAAAGACCCCGUGAACCUUUACUAUAGCUUGACACUGAACAUUGAGCCUUGAUGUGUAGGAUAGGUGGGAGGCUUUGAAGUGUGGACGCCAGUCUGCAUGGAGCCGACCUUGAAAUACCACCCUUUAAUGUUUGAUGUUCUAACGUUGGCCCGUAAUCCGGGUUGCGGACAGUGUCUGGUGGGUAGUUUGACUGGGGCGGUCUCCUCCUAAAGAGUAACGGAGGAGCACGAAGGUUGGCUAAUCCUGGUCGGACAUCAGGAGGUUAGUGCAAUGGCAUAAGCCAGCUUGACUGCGAGCGUGACGGCGCGAGCAGGUGCGAAAGCAGGUCAUAGUGAUCCGGUGGUUCUGAAUGGAAGGGCCAUCGCUCAACGGAUAAAAGGUACUCCGGGGAUAACAGGCUGAUACCGCCCAAGAGUUCAUAUCGACGGCGGUGUUUGGCACCUCGAUGUCGGCUCAUCACAUCCUGGGGCUGAAGUAGGUCCCAAGGGUAUGGCUGUUCGCCAUUUAAAGUGGUACGCGAGCUGGGUUUAGAACGUCGUGAGACAGUUCGGUCCCUAUCUGCCGUGGGCGCUGGAGAACUGAGGGGGGCUGCUCCUAGUACGAGAGGACCGGAGUGGACGCAUCACUGGUGUUCGGGUUGUCAUGCCAAUGGCACUGCCCGGUAGCUAAAUGCGGAAGAGAUAAGUGCUGAAAGCAUCUAAGCACGAAACUUGCCCCGAGAUGAGUUCUCCCUGACUCCUUGAGAGUCCUGAAGGAACGUUGAAGACGACGACGUUGAUAGGCCGGGUGUGUAAGCGCA